GACGAACGCUGGCGGCGUGCUUAACACAUGCAAGUCGAACGGACGGACUUCGAGGAAGCCUUCGGGCAGAAUCGGGGCGAGUUAGUGGCGGACGGGUGAGUAACGCGUGGGUAACCUGCCUCUUUCAUGGGGACAACAGUUGGAAACGACUGCUAAUACCAAGUAAGCCCAAUGGAUCGCAUGAUUUAUUGGGGAAAGAUGGCCUCUGAAAAUGCUAUCGGGAAGAGAUGGACCCGCGUCUGAUUAGGUAGUUGGUGAGGUAACGGCUCACCAAGCCGACGAUCAGUAGCCGGCCUGGAGAGGGUGGCCGGCCACAUUGGGACUGAGACACGGCCCAGACUCCUACGGGAGGCAGCAGUGAGG
rnacentral:rRNA from 1 species